rnacentral:rRNA from 1 species
CCAGACUCCUACGGGAGGCAGCAGUGGGGAAUAUUGGGCAAUGGGCGCAAGCCUGACCCAGCAACGCCGCGUGAAGGAAGAAGGCUUUCGGGUUGUAAACUUCUUUUAAGAGGGAAGAGAAGAAGACGGUACCUCUUGAAUAAGCCACGGCUAACUACGUGCCAGCAGCCGCGGUAAUACGUAGGUGGCAAGCGUUGUCCGGAUUUACUGGGUGUAAAGGGCGUGUAGCCGGGCUGACAAGUCAGAUGUGAAAUCCGGGGGCUCAACCCCCGAACUGCAUUUGAAACUGUUGGUCUUGAGUAUCGGAGAGGCAGGCGGAAUUCCUAGUGUAGCGGUGAAAUGCGUAGAUAUUAGGAGGAACACCAGUGGCGAAGGCGGCCUGCUGGGCUUUUACUGACGCUGAGGCUCGAAAGUGUGGGGAGCAAACAGGAUUAGAUACCCCAGUAAA